rnacentral:tRNA from 1 species
AAAAGAUAAGCUAAUCAAGCUCCUAGGCUCAUACCCUAAUUAUAAAGGUCCACCCCCUUUCUUUUUAA